AAAGAAAGAAAACUGGAGGAAACGGAUUUACUACUGGAGUUCUUCUUGUAUUUUGACCUGUUCUAUGUUUAUUUUGGAGGUUCCCUUUUUUCUUCAGUUUUGUCUUCAGAAGAAAAGAGCAGUCUAAAAGAAGCAGGGAAAGGAAAAAGAUGACCACGUCAAGUUUGCAUUGAUCGGUCAAGUCCAUGCCUCUUGUGUCUCCAUAUGUCUCCCCUUCCUUCCUUCUCGAUCACGUAGGUAUCAGAAAGAAUAAAGA
rnacentral:ribozyme from 11 species